rnacentral:rRNA from 1 species
ACGAACGCUGGCGGCGUGCCUAAUACAUGCAAGUCGAACGAACUGUGGAAAGCUUGCUUUCAGAGUUAGUGGCGAACGGGUGAGUAACACGUAAGUAACCUAGCUAUUAGACGAGGAUAACUACUGGAAACGGUAGCUAAGACUGGAUAUGAUAGAAAUAUUUAAAGGAUGCUAAGGCAUCGCUAAUAGAGGGGCUUGCGGCGCAUUAGCUAGUUAGUAGGUAAAAGCCAACCAAGGCGAUGAUGCGUAGCCGACCUGAGAGGGUGACCGGCCACACUGGGACUGAGACACGGCCCAGACUCCUACGGGAGGCAGCAGUAGGGAAUCUUCGGCAAUGGACGGAAGUCUGACCGAGCAACGCCGCGUGAGUGAAGAAAGUUUUCGGAUUGUAAAGCUCUGUUAUUAGGGAAGAAAGGCUCUAGGAGGAAAUGCUUAGGGAUUGACGGUACCUAUGAGGAAGCCACGGCUAACUACGUGCCAGCCGCUGC